CCUACUUCCGGGUUUGACACGAAGUUCCCCUUAGAUAAUGCGAGUGCAAGCGGGAAGGCUCAAUUUAAAAUUUGUAAAGUCUUUGAUCAUCCGAGUUGUAAUCUAGAGAAGUGUCUUCCGCGCCGGACCAUGCAUAAGUCUCCUGGAACGGAGCGUCAUAGAGGGUGAGAAUCCCGUCUUUGGCAUGGAACCUCCCGGGGCUUCUGUGAUGCACUCUCGAAGAGUCGAGUUGUUUGGGAAUGCAGCUCAAAAUGGGUGGUGAACUCCAUCUAAAGCUAAACAUUGGCGAGAGACCGAUAGCGAACAAGUACCGUGAGGGAAAGAUGAAAAGCACUUUGGAAAGAGAGUGAAACAGUACGUGAAAUUGUUGAAAGGGAAACGCUUGGAGUCAGUCACGUUGACCGAGACUCAUCCAUUGCCCCUUCGGGCUUGGUGUACUUCUCGGCUGAUGGGCCAGCAUCAAUUUUGUCCCUCAGAUAAUGGCAGGGGAAAGGUGGCACCCUUAUGGGUGUGUUAUAGUCCCCCGUCGCAUGUGAGGGAUGGGAUUGAGGAACUCAGCACGCGCCUCUUGGUGUCCGGGGCUUUGGCCCACGCUUACGUGCUUAGAUGCUGGCAUAAUGGCUCUAAACGACCCGUCUUGAAACACGGACCAAGGAGUCUAACAUGCCUGCAAGUGUUCGGGUGGAAAACCCGUGCGCGAAAUGAAAGUGAAAGUUGGGACCUUCUGUCGUGGAGGGCACUGAACGCCCGGACCAGACCUUUCUGUGACGGAUCUGCGGUAGAGCAUGCAUUGUUUGGGGACCCGAAAGAUGGUGAACUAUUGCCUUGAAUAGGUGAAAGCCAGAAGGAAAACUUCUGGGUGGAAGCUCGUAAGCCGAUUCCUGAACGUUGCCAAUUCCGAUUCGUUCAAUUUUGGGUAUAUGAGGUGCGCG
rnacentral:rRNA from 1 species